CAUCUUUUAAAAAAAUGACAUAUUUGCUUCCCACUCCCCGUGCAAGGAUCAAACCUAGGAUCUUGUGUAUGUAAUAGCUUUCAGCCACUGAACUACAUUCCCAGCCCUUAAAAUGACAUCAGCUGUGCACCUCCUACCAACUUAAAGUCACUGUCAGAUGGUUCAGCUGUCUGUGAUACAAUGUAAGGGCUGUGUCAGUGACUGCUGUACUCUGCUGCUUAUGGAAUAGUGACAAGAAAAGAUCUGCACGUGCACUUUAUCAACUCCAUUUUCAAACUUAAAUUAUGUGUAUGUUUUGACUACAUGUAUGUAGUAUCCAAGGAGGCCAGAAGAUGGUGUCAGAUCCCCUGGGACUAGAGUCACAGAUGGGUGUGAGCUGCCCUAUGGGUGCUAGGAAUCAAACGUGGGUCCCCUGGGAACAGCAACCAGUGCUGUUAACAGUUGAGCCAUCUUUCUAGCUCCAGCCUCAUUCAUUGUGUGUGUUUUCCAUCUGAGGUUGCUUGAGUCCACAAUAGAGAACCCAGGGACAGAGUGGGCCAAUGACAGUGCCAUUUUAUCGUAUGUGUCAAAUAAGAUCAUAACAGUCUCUCUUCAUUGUCACAGGGAUGCUUCUUUCCGGCUACCUAUCUACCGUAAGUCAAGAAAACCGCCAUUGGGAGGUUAAGUAACAAAGCUAUGGGGAACUGAGCCCCUUCUAUCAUGCUCCGGCUUCCAGCCCAGUAGCUGGCUGAACAUCUGGGCUUCCAUGGGAACUAGCAGGAUGAAGAGUGGAUGUGUAUAAUGAAACAGACAGCAACCCAUACAUUGCUGCUACUCACAGGACCAGAGAAUUAAGCAGGACUGAAGACAAAGUCUCACAGAGAGGGCAUACAGCCUGGAGACACACAAAGAAGGCAGAGAUUGGCAGCCAGGAUGCAGCCACCUACAGUAUGAGUACAGGUCUGUGAAGGUGGGGCCUCUAGCUAGCGGGAGCUACCCACUGCCCUGAGCCUGGCCUCCUUGCAGGUCAGGGAUUAGUAGCCUGAGGCUGGGGAAGAAAGCUCUGGCUUGAGUGAGGAGGUGUUUCCUGGGGGUCAUCACUCACCAGCCUGUGAUAAUGCUGGUGCUGCUUCAGUCCUCUCUUCCUCAGUUUCCCUACAUGUAACAUGGGGCUGAAAUGGAGGGGCUGCGCACCAGCAUCAGCACAGCACUGGCCUACUCCUGCUAUCUAUGAUGUCUGUCUGUGAUGCACCAUACAAGGCAUCUGAGUGGUUUCUCUCAAUUUCCCUGUUAGCAAACGAGUGGGCUGACCUGGAUGGUAAAUGUCUUAACUACCCCUAUGGGCCCCUCUGUCUUCCAUCCCCAGGGCCUCAAGGGGAGGAGCCAAGAGCCUGGGGCUAUCAGCAGGAAACAGUCACUCACCCCCAAGCAGUCUCUGAUUGGUGAAAGUGAACCACUUGACAAAGUGUUCAGCCAAGCAGAAAGCCAGCCAUGUAAUCAGUUCCCUCUGUGUUCUGGUCUUUCUGCUGCUUCUGGCCUGCUAAGCUGGACCCCACUGUGUGCCAACACCGCUUCUCUUUCCAGCUUCUCCCACCUAAUCUGGAGAGCAUGUCAGUGCAGGGAAGACAGUGGCUAAUCAGAGCUUUGUCCCAUGUUGGUUUCAUGGCUGGACUCCGGCCAAAGGCUGGGCUGGUGGGGUCUGGACCUGAAGAGGGGUCACUGGGUGACUCAGGGAUGAAGAUCAAAUGGAGGAAGAUGUUUGCCCCUGGGGGUCCCUCCUCUUGGCAGCUGCCAGGCCCAGUUCCUCCAAGUUAGCAGUAGACAAGAGGCUAGCCCUGGUAGAUCCUUGCAUCACCACAUAUGGAAUGCAUCUCCAAACACACCUAAGGCAACGAUUCCCAGGUACAGUUUCUCUGACCACAGUAUUUUAGAACGAUCUUGGGAGCUAUCUGUAGAGUGGCUAAUGUUUUCCUUCACAAGCCUGGAUGUCAUUUGCCAUCUGUGACUACCAUCUUGCCUCACAAGACAGAGCAUUUCAGUAGAGAAAAAAAUGGAAAUAUAUACCCUCUGAAUAAAUAAUAAUCUCUAUUAUUUUUUAUGUUUUAGUGCAUUUUGUACCACUGUAACACAAGCAAGGUGGUUUAUAAUGAGCCUACAGUAUUUGUUGUCUUGUGUUCUUGGAGUCUGGGCCAUCUCAGAUGGAAUGGUCAGUGGCUAGUAAUGUCCUUCCUCCUGUCAUGCCACCCAUGACAGAAGGACAGAGAGCAACAGAGAGCUUGAUGGGGUCAAAUCUAUCAUUGUGUAAGGAACUCACAGCCUUAGCCCACUCAUGGAAGGUAGAGUGCUUGUUGCUGAAUCACUCUGUAAGGUCCCGCCUCCUAACACCACCAAAGAUCAAGCUUCCAACAUUCAA